rnacentral:lncRNA from 1 species
CUUUUAGACAACCUCCCUGGAGUCCGGUGGCUCACACUUCCACUGGAAAUCAAGAUGGAAUUAGACAUGGCAUUAAGUGACUUGGAGGCUGCAGAUUUUGCAGAACUGGGUUAUUUGAUAUGCAGUCAUUUGCCCAAGGAUGAUCUUAUUGAUAUUGCCGUAUACUGUCGCCACUAUUGCCUGCUGCCUUUAGCAGCAAAACAAAGAAUUGGUCAGUUGAUCAUAUGGAGAGAAGUGUUUCCUCAGCAUCACCUCCGACCUUUGGCAGACUCAAGCACUGAAGUCUUUCC